UGGGCUGCUCGUGCGGUCCGGGCCUGCCCUGCUCCAGCUCUGAGUGAGCCCACUUAGUCGCAUGCCAGGGGCCUCUGCGGCACGGGCCAGUAGGAGGCCAGAUUAAUCGCUAUGACAAGUGAUCUCCAAACCUCUGUGGCUGAACACAAUAAAAAGUCACUCACGACUUCCAGAAUAAACGACCAUGAGUGUCCUGGUCAGGUAGCUCUCCUGGGCGCUGUCCUCCCAGCAGUGACUCGGGGACCCGGGCUCCUUCCACACUGUGGCUCUGCCAUCACCUCGGGCCUCGGGUUCCUCCGCUGGAUUCUGUCUGUCUACCAGCAGACGAGGGAAGAGUGCUGGGCUCUGAGUGGCCUUUCCUUGGCCCGGGCCUGGCGGUAGAGCCCACGUCUACCACACUCCAUUGGCCAGAAUUCAGACACCAGCUACGAAGAAAGCUGGGAACUACAGUGUCGUUUUGCACCCAGGAAGGAAAGAAGUGGUUUGGCAAACCACCAGCCAGUCUCUCUUGUACGAGGCUCCAGUCUGUGUUUCCAGUCUCAGCUCCUAUGACUUCUUGGCCACCAUCUGCUAAGAGGAUUGUAUGAUUUGUUCACAAUUUUUCUUUCUCUAACCAUCGUUGCGUGGCUCUUCCUGGGCAGGUGUACUUCCCGGCCCUGCUGACUUUGGGACCAGCCAUGUGACUUGCUGUAACCCGUGGAGUAUGGGCAGACGCAGGGUGUGUCUGUGCACUGGGGCGCUUUCACUGUGGCCGUGUGGUUCGGCUUGGCCUCUUGCACGCCUGCGUUGCACCUUGAGAAGGAGCAGAGAGGCCCCAGGCCCAGAUGGAGCCUUGGGCAGCAAAGGACAGCCCACUGACACGGACCAGCUGAGGCAGGAAAGGGACAAGACACUCGAGAGAGAGUCUCCACAGCAAGUACUGGGUUGAGGGACCCAGCAAGGCCGUGCCGGGCCAAGAUGCUGGACGAGUGAAUUGCCUGUGAGGAGCCACGCCUGGCAAAGACGGAAAAGGAAAAGGCUGUUAUCGACGGAGCAGGAGGGGUCCAGGCUGGAGGCUGGAGGGAAGUCACCACGGGCCCGGACGGUCAAGAUGGCUUCCUCCUUCCAUCUGGCCUUCUCUGCUCCACCUCUCCAAGGUGGGACAUGCUGUGUCAGCCCUGUGUGCUCCCAGGCCCCGCACCAGCAGCCCAGUCCCUGCUCCAGACUCACGGGAGGAUCUGAUUGGCUCGGCCCCUCCCUGGCGUGUGAUCUCCAGUGUGCAGUCAGCUGGGACCAGGGGGCACGUCCCUGCAUCCUGGGCUUUCCCAGGUCCCAUCUCUGCUUUGGCACUGUUCCCAGACAACGUGUGGAGCAGACACCCUAGGAGGGGGCUGCUGCCGGUGCUUGUGGUUGAUGGAACUCUCGAAUGCGGUGUUUCCCCAGCUGAGCCAGGCAGCUUCCCC
rnacentral:lncRNA from 1 species